AAAUGAUAAUUACCUUGCCAUCAUCAGGGAGAGCCAUGGCAGUUGCCAGCAGAGAGUAACCAGUGAAGACACCAAUCUCCAUAGUAUUCUUAGCAUUAAUGAGUUUGAGAAGCAUGUUCAAGAAUUGUCCUUCAUCGGCAGAGGUGGUCAUAAGGUUCCAAGGGUGUUUUGCAGUAAUCUCUCUUAGCUCUUUCAUGGCUUCGGGCUCUCUUGGAUACACACUUGUUUCAAGAAUGUACUGUUCAAAUACAAAUCAAACAAUUUAUUACGAUCAGUAUGUUCAUAAAAAGUUUUGCACGUGUAACUAAUGUCUUGUUGUAUGACAAUAAUAUGAAUGAAAAUGGUGUGUGGGCUUAGUUUACCUGAUAAAGGGCAUCGCUUUGCAAGAGACUCUUGUGUCCAACUUCUUGGUGUCUGCCAUUUUCUCCAUUGCUUGCCAUUGCUGAUUGGUAUUGAAGGGGAUAGUUUAGUUAUAUUUGUUUCUGAAGUAGAUUAGUUUUAGGUAAGCAACCUGCUUUUGGAGUGGCUUAAUUUAUAGUGGAAAACGAGAGACAUUGUAAGGAGUGGAGGGGUUGUUUGGGUUUAAAUGAUUGAAAGUUGGUGAAUACUUGGUUCUUUCUCCUACAUACAGACAAACCGCCAACUCCGUUUUUGACUUCAGAUACAUCACCUAACGAAGUAACAAUACUCACCACCAGCCACUCACUUUCGUAAUUUCAGAUUAGGCUACUUUUCUUGACAAAAUCAGUUGAAAAGUAUUCUCUAUUUGAAGAGUCGACUCAGUCAAGUGGACAAUGCAUUGCCGUUUGCCAAUAUUUUCUAAGUUAAAAAUAACCACUAGGAUUAAUACAUUGUUCCUCUCGACCCCACCACAAAAGCAAAGACAAGGUCUGUGUACAUCCUAUCCUUCUAGGAUCCCAUUUAUAUUACACUGAAUAUGUUAGUUGUUCAUUACUAACUCUGUGGACACAAUGAUACAUUGAUACUAAUACUCGUUAAAAGUAGUUGGUUGCUGACUUAACACGGUAGUUCUAUGAAAUUGUUGUCGUACAAAUAAUGGGCGGGCGGGUGGAUCUGGAAUUAUUUUACUAUUUUCUUGUGUUCGUUUCAACGAAAAUAAUUUACUAAAAACAUUUUUAAAGGAUGAUUAUAUUUAUUGAGUUUAGAAUAGAAGUAAUAUAAACCGCCAGUAUAAAUAAUUUUUAUAUCAUCAGGUUAAUUUUUUCCUGUUGUAGCAAUUAUUUUGGAUGACCUGAUGGUGUAAACAAUUUACACUGAGAACUUAAGUUACAACGAAUUUCUAUGGGUAAUCUUGUUCUGCAUUGGUCAAGUUGACUCCUAUAGAUCAACAAAUGAACAAAUAUAUGAGUCAAGAGGUGUAAAUCCAAUGGAUCAAAAUUAGGAUCAUGCGCUGCCCAAAUGACAAAAUGUUGCUUGAAAUUAAAGGGUCUUAAAUAGUUUCAUCCCUUUUUAAAUUAAUUGGAAAAAAGGCUAUCACAUCAAUUAGUUAGAAAGAGUAGUUAGAUUAAUCAUAUUUCAGAUGAUGGUAAUCUUCUUUCACUAUGAUCUAACGGUGUCAAACCAAAGUACUUGAAAUUCAAAUAUCAGUUGAAAAUAACUAUGACAUUGCAAAUGUAAUUUGCUUCUCUAUAUGUAUUGGGUAAUUUUUGUUUCUCCAAGGGGAUUCUGUCAAAUGCAAUGAGAAUGAAGCAACAUACGCUAGUCCAGCCUAAGUAAAUUUAGAAUUCAAAUUUUGCAAAUUUCGUCUCUGCUUUAUUUAGUUUUACAUAUAAGACCAAGCAGCAUAACUUUUGAAAGUUUUGCCGCUAGGACGGUAUGCCUCGUCCAGAAAAGUUACUCUAAUAGCCCGAUCACGUUUGUGAAAAUCUCCCUUGUGGAUUUGGUUGGUUUUGUUGUAUUGGCUCAAAAAUACAACAAUAGUCCCAUCUAGAAAUUUUUCGAUCCAUAAGUUUUAGGUUUAGAUGUUGCUGGCCUGCUGCUGUGUCUUUUUUUCCAUUUUUUUUUUCGGUUUGGAAGCUUGAAUCACCUAAAAAUCGACCUACAAUUGCAGCAAUAAUGCAUCAAAUAAGUGGGAGGUAUUUUGAAUAGUUUGCUGCUUGUGAGCUGUUGAGAGAUGUUUCUAGCUAAUCAAUACUAGUAGUAACAGGUUCCCCACUAACCCCAUUGAUGUGUGAAAUUUUGGACAAUCAGUCGUUGAACUUGAGUUUCUAUUUUAUUUAUCAAAAUACAUUGUGAAAUAAGCAGUAGGUAACAUAAACAAUGCAACUUUUGCCAGAAUAGACAGAAUUAAAAGAAAAGAUAAAAAUAAACGAAUGAGUAAAACGGGGGAUUUUAAAAUGAUAAAUCCUCCAUUGUCAUGACUCAUGAGCCUUGUGGAAUGUCCUGCAUUCUUGGUCGCCACCAAUAGUACUAUAUGAUGAAUAUUUUAACUGAUGCGCCGGCAAAGGGUGAUGCCAUCCCCAACGGGAAGCUGGCAGAUUUCGAUUCUGGGAUCGGCAGCCAAGGCCUUGUUGAGCUCCAAUACGAAAUCCCUAUAAUACCUAACAUAUUUCCUCAGGGGUGCAUCAGGUGGUGCCACUACUGAUCCAUUCCAUAGGGUGUUGUCAUAGCCAAUCAGUCCACCAACCUUCACCAAGUCGAUUAAUCUCUUGUGGUAGUUCAAGUAAUUGUCCUUGUCAGCGUCCACAAAUAUGAAAUCAUAUGAUCCAUGAUAUUUUCCCUGUUAUCGAAAUUGAUAAACAAACGACAAUCAUAGAUGAGCUUUCAAUUUAUUCAUUUGUUGUUACGUUCAUGGAACUUUAUGUACUUACGUCUUCAAUCAUUUGAUCAAGAACAGGAAGUGCAGGGCCUUCUCUGAAAUCGACUUUGUGAGCUAGUCCGGCUUUUUCAAUUACUGGAAGACCAAUCUCAUAGUUUUCACGGUUGAUAUCCAUUGCUAGAAUCUGAAUUAAUUUUAGCAAAUUAGUUUAAUUUAUAAUUAUUUUUUUUUUAAAAAAGAUGGCGAUCAAUUAGUAAAAAGAUAAUUACCUUGCCAUCAUCGGGAAGAGCCAUGGCAGUAGCAAGCAGAGAGUAACCAGUAAAAACACCAAUCUCCAUAGUGUUCUUGGCAUUGAUGAGUUUAAGAAGCAUAUUCAAGAAUUGUCCUUCAUCUGCAGAGGUGGUCAUAAGGUUCCAAGGGUGUUUUGCAGUAAUCUCUCUUAGCUCUUUCAUGGCUUCGGGCUCUCUUGGAUACACGCUUGUUUCAAGAAUGUACUG
rnacentral:lncRNA from 1 species